CGGGGUGAGUAACGCGUGGGUAACCUACCCUGUACACACGGAUAACAUACCGAAAGGUAUGCUAAUACAGGAUAAUAUAUUUGAGAGGCAUCUCUUGAAUAUCAAAGGUGAGCCAGUACAGGAUGGACCCGCGUCUGAUUAGCUAGUUGGUAAGGUAACGGCUUACCAAGGCGACGAUCAGUAGCCGACCUGAGAGGGUGAUCGGCCACAUUGGAACUGAGACAUGGUCCAA
rnacentral:rRNA from 1 species